rnacentral:rRNA from 1 species
UACGUAGGGUGCAAGCGUUGUCCGGAAUUAUUGGGCGUAAAGAGCUCGUAGGCGGUUUGUCGCGUCUGCUGUGAAAACCCGAGGCUCAACCUCGGGCCUGCAGUGGGUACGGGCAGACUAGAGUGCGGUAGGGGAGAUUGGAAUUCCUGGUGUAGCGGUGGAAUGCGCAGAUAUCAGGAGGAGCACCGAUGGCGAAGGCAGAUCUCUGGGCCGUAACUGACGCUGAGGAGCGAAAGCGUGGGGAGCGAACAGG